UGAUCUCCUCCACGAUUUUAUGUUUGACCUUAGAUGUUUUGGUCUGACUGUAUGCUAAACCAGGACUCAAAAUACUGGUUUGGAAGCGCGUCUCCUCACCCUCCAGAAGUUUUCUACAUUUGAGAGAGACAAUAUAAGGUCCAACAGAAGCGAACAGAAUCUGUCAGCAUCUCUCUGUAUUUGUCAGCAGCUCUGUGAUACUGUGAGUCUGAGCUCUGGCUGACAUCGCCGGUUUUCCUGCAAACUCACAUUUCUGCUCUCCUGCUCUUCUGCACAUUGUUGGGUGUAAAUCUGAAGCUCCGCCCCUCUGCAGCACCCAGCUGCACUCGAUUGAACGCCCAGACACACAAAACACAAACACAGACGUGAAUCCGAUGUCUCAUUUAGAGAUGCCCGACAGGGUGGAAACACCGCUUGUGUUUGCUUCACAGCAGCCUGGAGUCUGUGUUUGAUAGAUAAACUAAACAACCGGGAACAGACCGGUUUGUGACAAAAGGAAGAAAUGGUAUUUCGAUACGCACCGAGGACAGCGGUUUCUAAGAUAAGUCUCUACCAUCAAACCCUGCUGCGGAGAUCUUGUUAGGUAUUUGCUAAUGUUUCUGCCAAGGAACAGAGCAAGUAUAACUUCAUUACUGCAGUGGACAUAAAUCUCGUGUAAACGUGUAUGUGCCGGCCAAACACACACACUCACACUACAUCUCAGGCUGUUGAGUCAAAAUGAUGAACAACCUCUACGUCCGCGCCAACUUUUAUGGUCAAAUCUAUUACGAGGAAAGAUACACCUGUACCCAUCUCUCAUCAUAUCAUGCUGUUUUUGUCUUUAGUAAAAAAGGCAUUUCUUGGAUAUCUGACCAUGCAAUUGAUGCAAAAGAUGCUGCAGCAUGACUAGAAAAUGACCUGCUGUCAUCUGACCUUUACCCUCUGUCCACGACCUAAAAGGAAACACCCAGAAUCUGCAGUGCAGUGUGAAACCUUAUUACUCCCCCCUACUCCUCUCUCUCUUUCUCCCAGUAAGAUAAUGGCAAAUGCAGUUACAGAUGAGGAGAGGUGGUCCCACUUGUGACGUGGGCUGGUCCAGCACUGCAUUGCACCCAGACCACACCCCACAACGGCACCCACAUCCAGCCCACAGACAGACUAUGAUGCAUCUUAAAGCAACGAUGAAGGACGAUGAUAAGUUGCAUACUAUAUUUGAGGUAUAAACUGUGCUGCAGGGGUCGAUUUUGUGAAUCUGUAGCACAGCUUAUAGCACAUCAAGUUCAUCAAGUUCAUUUACUUUACUCUGCCAAUGUUCUUGCAUCAUCUGAUGUCUGUGCUGAAAUGCCUGUAUUGACCCUGGCAUAAAAAGCAGUGAAAUGCAUUAAAGCAACAAUAAUGUGAAAGUGAUUUGGAAGAUCAAAGCAGGCAUUUUAGCAUGAUUGCAUGCCUCAUACUGUCUGA